rnacentral:rRNA from 1 species
AUUAAACUUCGUGUAAUACGGCGGGAAUUAAAAAGCGAUUAAAAAGAUCGUUAAUUUGUGCGUGUUAGUUUAACUGGGGCGGUUAUCUUCUAAAACGUAACGAAGAUAUUUAUAAAACCCUGGAUAUAAGAUAUAUUGAAAUAAAUAUACAGGGUUUGAUUGGUUUAUAAGCAAAUAAACCAAGGGUUUAGGCCUAAUAUAUUGACCUGACUUUUAAUAUCGGAUUUAUUGUCGUUUUAAUGGAUAAAAGGUACGCUAGGGAUAACAGGCUGAUAAAUUUUGAGAGUUCUUAUUGAUAAAUUUGUUUGGCACCUCGAUGUCGGCUCAUCGCAUCCUGGUGGUGCAGGGGCCACCAAGGGUUUAACUGUUCGUUAAUGAAAGCGGUACGUGAGCUGGGUUUAAAACGUCGUGAGACAGUUUGGUCCCUACCUGCUAUUAGUGUAAAUAAUACUUAAUGUUUUACUUCAGUACGCA